rnacentral:rRNA from 1 species
UACGUAGGGGGCAAGCGUUAUCCGGAUUUACUGGGUGUAAAGGGGGCGCAGACGGCGAUGCAAGCCAGGAGUGAAAGCCCGGGGCCCAACCCCGGGACUGCUCUUGGAACUGCGUGGCUGGAGUGCAGGAGGGGCAGGCGGAAUCCCUGGUGUAGCGGUGAAAUGCGUAGAUAUCAGGAGGAACACCGGUGGCGAAGGCGGCCUGCUGGACUGCAACUGACGUUGAGGCCCGAAAGCGUGGGGAGCAAACAGG